AACGCUGGCGGCGUGCCUAACACAUGCAAGUCAACUUGACUGAAGGAGCAAUCUGACAGUAGAGUGGCGCAAGGGUGCGUAACGCGUAAGUAACUUGCCCCAAGGUAAGGAAUAACGUCGAGAAAUCGGCGCUAAUACCUCAUAAUGCAGCGGAUCCGCAUGGAUAUGUUGUUAAAGGUUUACCGCCUUGGGAUAGGCUUGCGUCUGAUUAGCUAGUUGGUGUGGUAACGGCACACCAAGGCUACGAUCAGUAACUGGUCUGAGAGGAUGAUCAGUCACACUGGAACUGAGACACGGUCCAGACUCCUACGGGAGGCAGCAGUGAGGAAUAUUGGGCAAUGCUCGAAAGAGUGACCCAGCAACGCCGCGUGGAGGAUGAAGGUAUUCUAUAUCGUAAACUCCCGUGAGAGCAGACGAAAGACAGAUUAUUAAUCUGGAUGACUGUAUGCUCAGAGGAAGCCCCGGCUAACUACGUG
rnacentral:rRNA from 1 species